rnacentral:tRNA from 1 species
ACCCGGGUGGCUCAGUGGUUGAGCAUCUGACUUUGGCUCAGGUCAUGAUCCCAGGGUC